CCCGCCUGGGGAGUACGGUCGCAAGACUAAAACUCAAAGGAAUUGACGGGGGCCCGCACAAGCGGCGGAGCAUGCGGACUUAAUUCCGAUGCAACCGCGAAGAACCUUACCAAGGCUUGACAUAUAGAGGAAACGUGCAGAAAUGUACGCCCCGCAAGGUCUCUAUACAGGUGGUGCAUGGUUGUCGUCAGCUCGUGUCGUGAGAUGUUGGGUUAAGUCCCGCAACGAGCGCAACCCUCGUCCUAUGUUGCCAGCACGUAAUGGUGGGAACUCAUGGGAGACUGCCGGGGUCAACUCGGAGGAAGGUGGGGAUGACGUCAAAUCAUCAUGCCCCUUAUGUCUUGGGCUUCACGCAUGCUACAAUGGCCAGUACAAAGGGCUGCAAUACCGUAAGGUGGAGCGAAUCCCAAAAAGCUGGUCUCAGUUCGGAUUGAGGUCUGCAACUCGACCUCAUGAAGUCGGAGUCGCUAGUAAUCGCAGAUCAGCAACGCUGCGGUGAAUACGUUCCCGGGCCUUGUACACACCGCCCGUCAAGUCACGAAAGUCGGUAACACC
rnacentral:rRNA from 1 species